rnacentral:rRNA from 1 species
GGCUCAGGAUGAACGCUAGCGGCAGGCUUAACACAUGCAAGUCGAGGGGCAGCAUGAUUGAACUUUCGGGUUCGGUUGAUGGCGACCGGCGCAAGGGUGCGUAACGCGUGAGCAACUUGCCCGUUUCAGGGGGAUAACCGGUGGAAACGCCGACUAAUACCCCAUGGCAUCAUAUUGAGGCAUCUUUAUAUGAUUAAAGAAUUUCGGAAACGGAUAGGCUCGCGUGACAUUAGCUAGAUGGCGGGGUAACGGCCCACCAUGGCGACGAUGUCUAGGGGUUCUGAGAGGAAGGUCCCCCACACUGGAACUGAGACACGGUCCAGACUCCUACGGGAGGCAGCAGUGAGGAAUAUUGGUCAAUGGCCGGGAGGCUGAACCAGCCAUGCCGCGUGAAGGUCACGGCCCUAUGGGUCUUAAACUUCUUUUGUAAGGGAGCAAUAAGGUUCACGUGUGGACUGAUGAGAGUACCUUACGAAUAAGCAUCGGCUAACUCCGUG